rnacentral:rRNA from 1 species
UGAGCAAUCUGCCCUUCUCAUCGGAAUAAGCGUUGGAAACGACGUCUAAUGCCGAAUACGACCUCCUUUCGCAUGAUCGGAGGUGGAAAGCUCCGGCGGAGAAGGAUGAGCUCGCGGCCUAUCAGCUAGUUGGUGUGGGUAAUGGCCUACCAAGGCGACGACGGGUAGCCGGCCUGAGAGGGUGACCGGCCACACUGGGACUGAGACACGGCCCAGACUCCUACGGGAGCAG